rnacentral:rRNA from 1 species
AAACUUUCAACAACGGAUCUCUUGGCUCUGGCAUCGAUGAAGAACGCAGCGAAAUGCGAUACAUAAUGUGAAUUGCAGAAUCCAGUGAAUCAUUGAAUCUUUGAACGCACAUUGCGCCCGCUAGCAUCCUGGCGGGCAUGCCUAUUCGAGCGUCUUUU